GUCGUGGUCACGGAAAACAGGGUCGAUAAACAAAACAAGAAACGAACUAUGACGAGGGACUGGAAGCGGAUAAUCCAGCGCGAACUAACUCUAAACAUGGACCGUGACUAUGACUAUGACUAUGAUACGAGCUAAACUAACUCUAAACAUUUAAUCUUCCGCGUUGUGUGCUGGGAGGCGCGCAGUAUAUAUGCGGACAUGAUCAGCGUCUAAACCGCUAGCAGCUGAGAGCAAUUCAGACCCACGUGAAAUCCCAGCCAAUGACAGAACAGGGAGGAGACAGAAACAUAAACAAAACACACGUGUCCAGAUGUCAUUACAGUCAACAACAGAAAAGCAGGUGCUCGCACAUUCACGCUUAGAGCACGCUGCUUCAAGGGGGAAUCGUGACAGAACCCCCCCCCGAGUGCCAUGAGUCAUCCCACUUCAUUGGCGGCCCCGGCCCCCUGGGCUGAAUGUCCCAAACAGAGCCAGG
ensembl:lncRNA